UACGAAGGGGGCUAGCGUUGUUCGGAAUUACUGGGCGUAAAGCGCACGUAGGCGGGUCGUUAAGUCAGGGGUGAAAUCCCGGAGCUCAACUCCGGAACUGCCUUUGAUACUGGCGAUCUAGAGAUCGAGAGAGGUGAGUGGAAUUCCGAGUGUAGAGGUGAAAUUCGUAGAUAUUAGGAAGAACACCGGUGGCGAAGGCGGCAUCCUGGACCGGCAUUGACGCUGAGGAGCGAAAGCCAGGGGAGCAAACGGG
rnacentral:rRNA from 1 species